AUUGAACGCUAGCGGGAUGCUUUACACAUGCAAGUCGAACGGAGUGGCGGACGUGUGAGUCAUAUAUCGGAAAGUGCCCAGUAGCGGGGGAUAACUACUCGAAAGAGUGGCUAAUCCCGCAGCCUCUUGGAGCGGCCGAUAUCGGAUUAGCUAGCUGGUGGGGUACAGGCUCACCAAGGAAACGAUCCGUAGCUGGUUUGCGAGGACGACCAGCCACACUGGGACCGAGACACGGCCCAGACUCCUACGGGAGGCAGCAGUGGGGAAUUAUGGAAAAUGGGGGAAACCCUGAUCCAGCCAUCCCGCGUGUAGGAUGAAGGCCUUCGGGUUGUAAAGUACUUUUUGCAGAGAAGCGGUAGCUGCAGAAUAAGCACCGGCUAACUACGGGCCAGCAGCCGCGGUAAUUC
rnacentral:rRNA from 1 species